rnacentral:rRNA from 1 species
UACGUAGGGGGGCGAGCGUUGUCCGGAUUCAUUGGGCGUAAAGCGCGCGUAGGCGGCUUCGUAAGUCGGCCGUGAAAUCUCCAGGCUUAACCUGGAGGGGUCGGGCGAGACUGCGGGGCUCGAGGUGGGCAGAGGGCAGUGGAAUUCCGGGUGUAGUGGUGGAAUGCGCAGAUAUCAGGAGGGAACACCCGGUGGCGAAGGGCGGGGACUCUGGGCCGAUACUGACGCUGAGGAGCGAAAGCGUGGGGAGCGAACAGG